ensembl:lncRNA
UGCUGGGGGAGCUCUGAGUGCUGGGGAACACGGUACAGGAGAGAAGCUAUGCAAACUGCAGGAGCCAAGCACUGGGGAUCAGCAGGAGGCAAACGCUGGUAAUGAGGGCACCUUGUGACCAGGGAGAGAACACUGUCUCUUCCUCACUGUCUGCUCCGUUCUCUCUGCUGACAACACUGAGCAUCGCCUCAGCCUGUGAAGCCACAUUCACACAGUCCACCUCUCCGGCCACAGAAGAGGAAGAGGUGAGUACAUUUGAAGCUGAGGGGCAAGGAAUUGACCACUGGCACCAGCAGAGAUGUUUGUAGGAAUGGAGAGCAAAGAAAACAGAAAAUCAGUGAGCAAUGCUAAUUAUCAAGACUACAGCAAUUAUGUUAGAAGGUUAAAAUAAUUACUCCUUUGGAAACAUUCUGUUAACUUCAUUUACAGAGAUCUAAAUUCCAUCCAAGCAAAAGAAAAAUAUGUGAUAAACGAAAAAUAAGGAAAUUUUCACCCUCUUCUCCUCUCAAUUGGAAAAAUAAGGAGAUAGAUAUCUUCGCAUCUAAUGGAAGCAGACUUUAAAAUAAAAAUAACAUUCCAUAACCGCA